rnacentral:rRNA from 1 species
GACGAACGUUGGCGGCGCGCUUAACACAUGCAAGUCGAACGGAAAGGCCCUGCUUUUGUGGGGUGCUCGAGUGGCGAACGGGUGAGUAACACGUGAGUAACCUGCCCUUGACUUUGGGAUAACUUCAGGAAACUGGGGCUAAUACCGGAUAGGAGCUCCUGCUGCAUGGUGGGGGUUGGAAAGUUUCGGCGGUUGGGGAUGGACUCGCGGCUUAUCAGCUUGUUGGUGGGGUAGUGGCUUACCAAGGCUUUGACGGGUAGCCGGCCUGAGAGGGUGACCGGCCACAUUGGGACUGAGAUACGGCCCAGACUCCUACGGGAGGCAGCAGUGGGGAAUAUUGCACAAUGGGCGGAAGCCUGAUGCAGCAACGCCGCGUGCGGGAUGACGGCCUUCGGGUUGUAAACCGCUUUCGCCUGUGACGAAGCGUGAGUGACGGUAAUGGGUAAAGAAGCACCGGCUAACUACGUGCCAGCAGCCGCGGUGAUACGUAGGGUGCGAGCGUUGUCCGGAUUUAUUGGGCGUAAAGGGCUCGUAGGUGGUUGAUCGCGUCGGAAGUGUAAUCUUGGGGCUUAACCCUGAGCGUGCUUUCGAUACGGGUUGACUUGAGGAAGGUAGGGGAGAAUGGAAUUCCUGGUGGAGCGGUGGAAUGCGCAGAUAUCAGGAGGAACACCAGUGGCGAAGGCGGUUCUCUGGGCCUUUCCUGACGCUGAGGAGCGAAAGCGUGGGGAGCGAACAGGCUUAGAUACCCUGGUAGUCCACGCUGUAAACGGUGGGUACUAGGUGUGGGGUCCAUUCCACGGGUUCCGUGCCGUAGCUAACGCUUUAAGUACCCCGCCUGGGGAGUACGGCCGCAAGGCUAAAACUCAAAGGAAUUGACGGGGCCCCGCACAAGCGGCGGAGCAUGCGGAUUAAUUCGAUGCAACGCGUAGAACCUUACCUGGGUUUGACAUGGAUCGGGAGUGCUCAGAGAUGGGUGUGCCUCUUUUGGGGUCGGUUCACAGGUGGUGCAUGCCUGUCGUCAGCUCGUGUCGUGAGAUGUUGGGUUAAGUCCCGCAACGAGCGCAACCCUUGUUCACUGUUGCCAGCACGUUAUGGUGGGGACUCAGUGGAGACCGCCGGGGUCAACUCGGAGGAAGGUGGGGAUGACGUCAAGUCAUCAUGCCCCUUAUGUCCAGGGCUUCACGCAUGCUACAAUGGCUGGUACAGAGAGUGGCGAGCCUGUGAGGGUGAGCGAAUCUCGGAAAGCCGGUCUCAGUUCGGAUUGGGGUCUGCAACUCGACCUCAUGAAGUCGGAGUCGCUAGUAAUCGCAGAUCAGCAACGCUGCGGUGAAUACGUUCCCGGG